GACGAACGCUGGCGGCGUGCUUAACACAUGCAAGUCGAACGGAAAGGCCCUGCUUUUGUGGGGUGCUCGAGUGGCGAACGGGUGAGUAACACGUGAGUAACCUGCCCUUGACUUUGGGAUAACUUCAGGAAACUGGGGCUAAUACCGGAUAGGAGCUCCUGCUGCAUGGUGGGGGUUGGAAAGUUUCGGCGGUUGGGGAUGGACUCGCGGCUUAUCAGCUUGUUGGUGGGGUAGUGGCUUACCAAGGCUUUGACGGGUAGCCGGCCUGAGAGGGUGACCGGCCACAUUGGGACUGAGAUACGGCCCAGACUCCUACGGGAGGCAGCAGUGGGGAAUAUUGCACAAUGGGCGGAAGCCUGAUGCAGCAACGCCGCGUGCGGGAUGACGGCCUUCGGGUUGUAAACCGCGUUCGCCUGUGACGAAGCGUGAGUGACGGUAAUGGGGAAAGAAGCACCGGCUAACUACGU
rnacentral:rRNA from 1 species